rnacentral:lncRNA from 1 species
UUUUCCAAGUCCCUUUUUAUAGAAGCUUUCAGCUGGGCUUGGACAUCUUGAAAACCCGAAAACUAUUUUCCAAAUAAAUAUUUUCAUAACAGCUGGUUAGAUCUCCUUGGAAAAUAAGUAAAUCAGGUUGUAAUUAAUGAUUGAAUCCGCCUGCAAAUCAGAUCUUUAAUCAUACAUAGAUUGUCAUUAAUUGCGCAAUCAGAUAACACCAGACAUUCACACUGAAUGUUCUGUGUACAGGAUGUCAUGACAUCGGGUCUGACAUCCUGGAACAAUCCUGCAUAAUUCCAUAAUUCCUUUUAUAAUUUCCAGCAGGUACAAAACAUCAGUUCGUGUAUGACAUCCUGAUACAAUCCUGCAUAAUUAUGUUUUCCCUUUCAACUCCAGCAGGUACACAUUAUCAGAAGCCAUGACAUUGUGUAUGACAUUCUGAAACAAUCCUGCAUGAUUAUGUUCUUGAACUCCAACAGGUACACAUGAUAUCUUAUGUUAAGACAUCACACAUAACAUCUUGUGAACACUCUUUGUUUUACCAAAAUUGUUGUCAACACUUAGAACCAACACAUAAUAAUAACCAACAACUUAAUAAUAACCAACAACAACAACACCAACAAUAUCAACAACAACAGCACCGUC